GGUGGUGGUAGCUCAGCGGGUACGACGUUGGAAUUCUGAUCGGAAGGUCAUGAGUUCAAAUCCCAGCACCACUA